UCUGGUUGAUCCUGCCAGUAGUGAUAUGCUUGUUUCAAAGAUUAAGCCAUGCAUGUCUAAGUAUAAGCGAACUUAUACAGUGAAACUGCGGAUGGCUCAUUAAAACAGUUUGAAUUUAUUUGAUGAAUGUAUGAGAAUACUACUUGGAUAACCGUAGUAAUUCUAGAGCUAAUACAUGCAACGACGCCCGACCGUUUCACUACGGAAGGGCUGUAUUUAUUGGAUACCAAAACCAUCCUUCCCUCGGGAAGUUUUGUUUGAUGAUUCACAAUAACUGAUCGGAUCGCCACUGUGGUGGCGACAGGUCAUUCAACAUCCUGCCCUAUCAGCUUUCGAUGGUUGUGUAGUGGACAACCAUGGCCAUAACGGGUAACGGAGAAUCAGGGUUCGAUUCCGGAGAAGGAGCUUGAGAAUUGGCUACUACAUCUAAGGAAGGCAGCAGGCGCGCAAAUUACCCAAUCCCGAUUCGGGGAGGUAGUGACAAAAAAUAACAAUACCGGGCCUUUUUGGGCUUGGUAAUUGGAAUGAGGGAGAGUUAAACGGACCAUCGAGUAUCCAUUGGAGGGCAAGUCUGGUGCCAGCAGCUGCGGUAAUACCAGCUCCAAUAGCGUAUAUUAAAGUUGUUGCAGUUAAAAAGCUCGUAGUUGGACUUGUGUGCGCUGUCCGCGGGUGCCUGCGCCCAAAAGGGCGUUUCGGUUCGGCCCCGGUGGCGCCUUGAAAUCUGCAGCUGGGGGGACGUUGGCCUUAACUGGCCGGCGACCGCACGCCGGCUGCUCGGUUACUGUGAGAAAAUUAGAGUGUUCAAGGCAGGCAUUGGGUGCAAUUGAAUACAUUAGCAUGGAAUAAUAAAAUAUGGCUCCUGCCGUAUUUUGUUGGUUUUGACUGGUGGGAGUAAUGAUUGAUAGGGACGGUUGGGGGUGCUAGUAUUGAGCGGCCAGAGGUGAAAUUCAUGGAUUCGCUCAAGACUAACUUAUGCGAAAGCAUUCACCAAGGACGUCCUCUUUAAUCAAGAACGAAAGUUGGGGGAUCGAAGACGAUCAGAUACCGUCGUAGUCUCAACCAUAAACUAUGUCGACUUGGGAUCGGCGGUAGUUUUUUCAUUAAGACACUGUCGGGACCACGGGAGAAAUCAAAGUGUCUGGACUCUGGGGGAAGUAUGGUCGCAAGGCUGAAACUUGAAGGAAUUGACGGAAGGGCACCACCAGGAGUGGAGCCU
rnacentral:rRNA from 1 species